UACGGGGGGAGCAAGCGUUGUUCGGAUUUACUGGGCGUAAAGGGCGCGUAGGCGGCCAGCACAAGUCAGUUGUGAAAUCUCCGAGCUUAACUCGGAACGGUCAACUGAUACUGUGCGGCUAGAGUGCGGAAGGGGCAACUGGAAUUCUUGGUGUAGCGGUGGAAUGCGCAGAUAUCAGGAGGAACACCGAUGGCGAAGGCAGGUCUCUGGGCAGUUACUGACGUGAGGAGCGAAAGCAUGGGGAGCGAACAGG
rnacentral:rRNA from 1 species